GGGCUAGUCCUUUCUAAUUGGUCAGAAACUUUCUUGUCAUGAAAGUAAAUGUCGGUUCGAAUCCGACCUAACCCG
rnacentral:tRNA from 4 species